AACAGGAUUAGAUACCCUGGUAGUCCACGCCCUAAACGAUGCGAACUGGAUGUUGGGUUCAACUUGGAACCCAGUAUCGAAGCUAACGCGUUAAGUUCGCCGCCUGGGGAGUACGGUCGCAAGACUGAAACUCAAAGGAAUUGACGGGGGCCCGCACAAGCGGUGGAGUAUGUGGUUUAAUUCGAUGCAACGCGAAGAACCUUACCUGGUCUUGACAUCCACGGAACUUUCCAGAGAUGGAUUGGUGCCUUCGGGAACCGUGAGACAGGUGCUGCAUGGCUGUCGUCAGCUCGUGUCGUGAGAUGCUGGGUUAAGUCCCGCAACGAGCGCAACCCUUGUCCUUAGUUGCCAGCACGUAAUGGUGGGAACUCUAAGGAGACCGCCGGUGACAAACCGGAGGAAGGUGGGGAUGACGUCAAGUCAUCAUGGCCCUUACGACCAGGGCUACACACGUACUACAAUGGGAAGGACAGAGGGCUGCAAUCCCGCGAGGGGGAGCCAAUCCCAGAAACCUUCUCUCAGUCCGGAUCGGAGUCUGCAACUCGACUCCGUGAAGUCGGAAUCGCUAGUAAUCGCAGAUCAGCAUUGCUGCGGUGAAUACGUUCCCGGGCCUUGUACACACCGCCCGUCACACCAUGGGAGUUUGUUGCACCAGAAGCAGGUAGCUUAACCUUCGGGAGGGCGCUUGCCACGGUGUGGCCGAUGACUGGGGUGAAGUCGUAACAAGGUAACC
rnacentral:rRNA from 1 species